rnacentral:rRNA from 1 species
UACGUAGGCUGCAAGCGUUGUCCGUAUUUAUGGGGUUUACAGGGUGCGUAGGCGGCUUAUUAAGUUAGUGGUGAAAACGUUCGGCUUAACCGGAGACCCGCCAUUGAUACUGAUAGACUUGAGUGCGACAGAGGGUGUUGGAAUGUGUGGUGUAGCGGUGAAAUGCUUAGAUAUCACGCAGAACACCAAUUGCGAAGGCAGAUGCCUAUGUCGUAACUGACGCUGAGGAGCGAAAGCGUGGGGAGCAAACAGG